rnacentral:rRNA from 1 species
AGCGAACGCUGGCGGCAGGCCUAACACAUGCAAGUCGAGCGGCCGUAGCAAUCCGGCAGCGGCAGACGGGAGAGUAACACGUGGGGACGCGCCCUUCGGUUCGGGAUAACUCAGGGAAACUUGGGCUAAUACCGGAUACGCCCUUACGGGGAAAGAUUUAUUGCCGAAGGAACGGCCCGCGUCCGAUUAGCUUGUUGGUGAGGUAACGGCUCACCAAGGCGACGAUCGGUAGCUGGUCUGAGAGGAUGACCAGCCUCACUGGGACUGAGACACGGCCCAGACUCCUACGGGAGGCAGCAGUGGGGAAUAUUGGACAAUGGGCGCAAGCCUGAUCCAGCCAUGCCGCGUGGGUGAUGAAGGCCCUAGGGUUGUAAAGCCCUUUCAGCGGGGAAGAUAAUGACGGUACCCGCAGAAGAAGCCCCGGCUAACUUCGUGCCAGCAGCCGCAGUAAGAC